UACGAAGGGGGGCUAGCGUUGCUCGGAAUUACUGGGCGUAAAGGGCGCGUAGGCGGUGCACUAAGUCAGGCGUGAAAGCCCUGGGCUCAACCCGGGAAUUGCGCUUGAUACUGGUGCGCUUGAAUCCAGGAGAGGUUGGUGGAAUUCCCAGUGUAGAGGUGAAAUUCGUAGAGAUUGGGAAGAACACCGGUGGCGAAGGCGGCCAACUGGACUGGUAUUGACGCUGAGGCGCGAAAGCGUGGGGAGCAAACAGG
rnacentral:rRNA from 1 species